AAUCGUGACCAUAUCACGUUGGAAACACCGGUUCUAGUCUGAUCACCGAAGUUAAGCAACAGCAGGUCCGGUUAGUACUUGCAUGGGUGACCGGCUGGGAAUACCUAUUGUUGCGGCCG
rnacentral:rRNA from 1 species